GAUGAAGAACGUAGCGAAAUGCGAUACUUGGUGUGAAUUGCAGAAUCCCGUGAACCAUCGAGUCUUUGAACGCAAGUUGCGCCCGAAGCCUCGGCUAAGGGCACGUCUGCCUGGGCGUCACGCAUCGCGUCUCCCCCAAACCGCCAAGGCGGAGGGGAAGGAAGAUGGCUUCCCGUGCCUCACCCGGCGCGGUUGGCCUAAAUUUGGAGCCCGCGGCACUUAGCUCUCGUGGCGAUAGGUGGUGAACAAGGCCUUGGCCGUGCAAACAACCCGCUGGGAAUCUCUAUGUCACGUGCGCUCGUCGGACCCUUUGAAGUUGCCUUCGGUGACUUAAAACCUUUGCGACCCCAGGUCAGGCGGGGCUACCCGCUGAAUUUAAGCAUAUCAAUAAGCGGAGGA
rnacentral:misc_RNA from 1 species